GAUCCAAGUCACCAGUAAUGAAGAUUUUGCCUUUAUUUUCGUAAUUUAUGAGAGAAUUUGAAUAUCCAGUUCCAAUUGCAGUGUUAAAUUCAGGACAGAGAUGGUYUCUCGACUCGCCAAACAGARCCAGCGGCCAUCAGCAUUCCACUGUCUGCAAGGUGUGGCGAGUAAUCUAUGGUGUUGACUGUUUCUGAAUGACAGUUCAAAAUGGCAAGCGGUUUAAGAGUUUUCCAGCUAUAUACACGUAUCCUGGAUGCCAAAGAAGUGGAAUACAAUGAAUAAAUUGAAUGAAUAAAUGGAAAAAAAAAACGCAUAAGCAUUACAGCUCAUUUCGAAAACGUUACCAUGCAAAAAUAAAACUGAAUAAAAUAAAACGCAUUUAAAUGUUUGACUAAUAACCUUUUUCAAGUUCAAUUUUUGCUAUUGCUAUCUGACAAAUUCGCAAUACAGUAGGUGUAUAUUCAAGUUCUACAAGUCUGCCUUGCGUAUGGUAUUGAUUAUGAGCUGAAGUCCGGUUAAUAGACUAAAACAUCAGAGUAAUAAAUACACGAUGUGGAUCAGCAACAUAAUAAMAGCMAUUUUGAAAACUCGUGCUUKUACUCACUCACUGUCGUUGUCAAAUGUAAAGGUGUUUCAUACCUAU